CCUACGGGGGGCAGCAGUGGGGAAUAUUGGACAAUGGGGACAACCCUGAUCCAGCCAUGCCGCGUGUGUGAAGAAGGCCCUCGGGUUGUAAAGCACUUUCAGUGAGGAAGAACGCCUGGUGGUUAAUACCCAUCAGGAAAGACAUCACUCACAGAAGAAGCACCGGCUAACUCCGUGCCAGCAGCCGCGGUAAUACGGAGGGUGCGAGCGUUAAUCGGAAUUACUGGGCGUAAAGCGCGCGUAGGUGGCUUGAUAAGCCGGUUGUGAAAGCCCCGGGCUCAACCUGGGAACGGCAUCCGGAACUGUCAAGCUAGAGUGCAGGAGAGGAAGGUAGAAUUCCCGGUGUAGCGGUGAAAUGCGUAGAGAUCGGGAGGAAUACCAGUGGCGAAGGCGGCCUUCUGGACUGACACUGACACUGAGGUGCGAAAGCGUGGGUAGCAAACAGGAUUAGAUACCCUUGUAGUC
rnacentral:rRNA from 1 species